AUGUCUUUUAAUUCUUUUGUCAUUUAUAGAUUGUUAUUUUUGUACUCUGAUGCUGUUACAAAAAAGUGCUGCAUCAUCAAGGAGAUUCAUAGAAAGGCUAUGGAAGCAGCUACAAGCUGUUUCACCUCAAGAGGAAGGCUGUGGAGCCCAACGGCGCGGCAUGUGGAGUGGGCAAUGGCUCCCCCUCGCGGUGCGCGCGCAGCCUGCAGGGCCAGCCGCGGGAGCAGGCCUGUGGAAAAGGAUUCAGAGAACACGGUCUCGCGUGACUUCCUUCUGAGGUGCGAUCUGACCAGACACUUCUGCUGGACUCCUUUCCAGCACCUGGCAGCUGUGACCCUGGAAGGCAGUGCUGUAGCCGCCCAGUCGAGCAGAGGUGAUCUUGUAGUUGUUAAGUCUGUAUGCAUGAGAGAAAAAUGUAACAACAUGAGUUGGGAGUAAAGUAAUCAGGCAGUAAAGAGAAUGAACAGUAAGAACAAUGGACCUGGUCAACAGAGCUGUGUUGUCAGAGGAGAGACAGUUGUUGGACACCGGGAUGCAUCACGCAGGGAAUGGAGGGAAUGGGCUUCAGUGCAGAAGUGAAGAUUGCCUUCAGCCACAGCUGGCCUCCGUUCUUUAGGGAAGUACAGCCAGCCUUCUUAGUAAGGGUUGUCGCAAUCAGAACUCUGAUUGAAGAUGGGAAGUCUGCCUACAACAGAUGACAGGGAUUGUAGGGAAAGAAGGUGGACAGUGGAGUCAAGUCAGAAGGCUGUUGUUAGAAGGGGAAAAGGUCUGCCUUAGUGGCAGUAGUCAUGACAGGAGGACAUGCACAGAAGCAAAGACCACAGAACUGAUAGCACUGACCACUGGCCAAUGUCUUGGAUCAUGAGAUAAGAAGAAAUUUAAAACAGGAAUCUGAAAUUGUGGACAUGGAGAACUGAUGGGUGAUGGUAUUGGCUGACUUCAGGGAUUGCAAGAAAUACACACGCGGGACCAGAUAAAAGGGUAGAUUUUACAGGACAUUCCAGUGGAAAUGAUAGGAAACUGGAAUUCACUGAUGGUCUUAGAGCUCAUGGGGAAAUGGAUAGGAGUCAGAGGGCCACGCUGUGAAGUUAAGUAGUGGUCCAGCUUGACAUGAGGCAGCUCAGCCUCCUAAGUGCUCAAAGAAUGUAAAAGAGAAACAUGCCCUCUGCACAGCAGCAUCCCGCCUGACUUGACUGCUUAGACUUACAUUUUCUUUCUUUUUCUUCUUUUCAGCUUUCUGUUUAUUAAAGAUAUACAUGCUCAUCCUAGCAAAUUUGGAAAGAACAGUUUAGAAAUAGGAAAAAAGAAAAUUUCUCUGAAUCCCACGUGAAUUCUUUCUUUCUCUCUUUUGUUUUCCUUUUGGUAUUUUCAAAAAAGUUGGGGAAUAGUGAAUUGGUGAAAUGGGUGAAGGGAUACUUGUGGUUGUAAAAUAAGUUCUGGGGAUGUAAUGUACAGUUAGGUGAUGAUGAUUACUAACACUAUUGCAUAUUUAUAAGUUGCUAAGAUAGUAGUUCUUAAAAGAUUUCAUCUGUAAGAAAAAAGUCUAACCAUGUAGGGUGAUGGAUGUUAACCAGAUUAUUGUGAUCAUUUUGCAAUAUAUACAUAUACUUAUAUAUCAAAUCAUUGUGUUGUAAACCUGAAACUAAUAUAAUGUUAUUUGUCAAUUAUAUCUCAAUCAUAUAGCACACGGAGCUCAACCAGUGCUCUGUAACAACCUAGAGGAGUGGGAUGGGCCAUUCAAGAGGAAGGGCACAUAUGUAUACUUGUGUAUAGUUAUGACUGAUGCAUGUUGUAUGGCAUAACAUUGUAAAGCAAUUAUUCUCCAAAUGAAAAUGUUUUAAAAAUGGGAAAAGUGUAUAAAUAAAUUAAUUAAAUAAAACCUGG
rnacentral:lncRNA from 1 species